rnacentral:rRNA from 1 species
GUCGAGUUGUUUGGGAAUGCUGCUCUAAACGGGAGGUAAAUCUCUUCUAAAGCUAAAUAUAGGCCACAGACCGAUAGCGCACAAGUAGAGUGAUCGAAAGAUGAAAAGCACUUUGAAAAGAGAGUUAAACAGCACGUGAAAUUGUUGAAAGGGAAGCGCUCAUGACCAGACUUGCGCCCGGCGGAUCAUCCGGCGUUCUCGCCGGUGCACUCCGCCGGGCUCAGGCCAGCAUCGGUUCGCUGUCGGGGAGAAAGGUAGGGGGAAUGUGGCUCCUCGGAGUGUUAUAGCCCCCUGCGUAAUACCCUUCGGCGGACCGAGGUCCGCGCGUCUGCAAGGAUGCUGGCGUAAUGGUCAUCAGCGACCCGUCUUGAAA